GAUUGUGCGUGUACAGAAAGAUGAAACGCAGAAAUUUGUCGUCCGUUUCGAAGCAAAUUAAAAGUAAUGUUUCGGAUUAUUUCGACGAGGAAAAAAGUAAAAAAAAGUCAACGUUUUCGAGAAAACGUCAUUUAGAAAAUAUAUUCAUUCGAUAUUUUCGACUUGUUUCGAGGUCCCCUAUCAGCACACACAAUAUUACGAUGAAGUUUUCCUUCGCCCCUGUAUAGAAUCUUCUAAAAUGCAACAGAAUAAUUAGUAUUUACGCUGAAUUAUUAUAAUAUAUAAUACUUCCUUUUUUUGUUUUGUGUCCUUUGUGAUUAUAUUUUCAGAUAGCAUCCGAUUUUAAAAACUCGGAGUUUAUCUGAUUUGUAUUUAUUUGUAAAUAAAUAAUGUGCGAAUCUAAAACACGUAAAUAUGUAACUUAAAUGAAC
rnacentral:lncRNA from 1 species